UAAGACGGAGGGUGCAAGCGUUGUUCGGAAUUACUGGGCGUAAAGCGUACGUAGGUGGCGGGUUAAGUCGAAUGUUAAAGCCUGAGGCUCAACCUCAGAGAUGCACUCGAUACUGGCCUGCUAGAGGGUGAUAGAGGAAAGCGGAAUUCCCAAUGUAGCGGUGAAAUGCGUAGAUAUUGGGAGGAACAUCAGUAGCGAAGGCGGCUUUCUGGGUCACACCUGACACUGAGGUACGAAAGCGUGGGGAGCAAACGGGAUUAGAUACCCCGGUAGUCCACGCCGUAAACGAUGGAUGCUAGGUGUAGCGGGUAUCGACCCCUGCUGUGCCGUAGCUAACGCGUUAAGCAUCCCGCCUGGGGAGUACGCACGCAAGUGUG
rnacentral:rRNA from 1 species